AAAAUGAAUGUUAUUCUCAGAAGAGAACUCAAAAAGGAUUUCUAUGAAGUCUCUGGCAGAAAACCGAGAAAUUUACAAAUGCAAGUGGUAUUUUCAUUUUCCUCUUUUAAAGACCACGAUGUAACAUGAGAAAACAAAAUACCAGAAGUGAAAGGCUGACUCCACUAAAGAUGUUCAAUAAUGAGAUUUGAUUUUUUUAAAAACACAUCUUUUAUGGGCUUUCAGGGCAUGGAAACAAGAUCAAGAAAGGUGUUUUUCUGGAGACUUUCCAAUCAAAGCAAUGAAGAUUUAAAGUGGAAUAAAAGGAUUGGGCAACAAAUAAAUUGAGUGUAAAAGAAGUCUGAUUCCUCAUUGUUGACAGGAAGACAGCCAUGGAUUGGGAAAAGAUUAGAGUGAAUCCUGUGAUGUUGGAUUGGGAUUGAAGAUAUCG